rnacentral:lncRNA from 1 species
UGAAACGUCAUAGUGAGGAUUCCAGUCUUUCAAAAGGGAAGAUUUACUGCACCACAUAAAUUCUUCUGCUAUUGCUUUUUCUUCCUAUAACAAAGUGUCUACAGGGAAGACAGAGAGAUGGUACCAGAAGCCAGAAUAUUAUUUACAAAACAAGGAAGAAGACAAACUGCUGUUAAGGAACAAGCAUGUUUCUGGGAAUGAUUGUUGUCCAGACAAUGAUUGCUUAUUAAUUCAUACCAAUGCAAAUUCAAGUGGAAUUCAAGGAAAGAAGAAUCGCACUAUAAUUGCAUUCUGGAAUUGUUUUCUAGAACCUUCUCUGUUUUCACUACUAAGAAAUACCUCAGGCUGUGUAAACAGCAGAUCCCAAAACAGAGACAAUCCAAAUUGUCUGUGAAGGUAAGAGUAAUCUUCUUCGGUAUGGCCAAACCCCCGAAAGUCUGUGUCUAGAGCCAAAUCUAAGAGGCUGAUCUGAUCCCUGAAAAGAGCAACGUGACAAUCCAGAAUUCUCUGAAGUCCAGCUAAGGCAUCCAGGGCUUCAUUGCUGGCUAUUGUCUGGAGACAAGAUCUGACAAGUCUAAGGGCUUCUAUUUCAUCAUCUGUCUCCAGAAAACCGACAGUGACAGUCAGGAUUCUCUGAAAGUUUCCCAAAUUGAGACAUUCCAUCUUCAGUUUUAAAUGAACUGUCCUUUUCUGUUUGUUUGUUUGUUUUUCCCUGUCUAUCCCUGUUAAAAGGAUUGCUUUGUGAUUAAUUUUAUUAUUUUUCCACAUCGCACCAGUUUAGAUUGAUAAUGUUCAUGAAUAUUGCUGCUGUUUACUGAUCUUCA